CAAUUGGUGGGUUUGAUCCUGGCUCAGGAUAAACGCUGGCGGCGUGCUUAACACAUGCAAAUCGUGCGAGAAAGUCACCUUCGGGUGAUUAGUAAAGCGGUGGACGGGUGAGUAAUGUAUGAGCAACCUACCCUAAGAGGGAAAUAACUCCGAGAAAUUGGACUUAAUGUCCCAUAAUCUUUUCUUUCUUUAUGUUUGAAAAGCAAAGCAGGCCUCUAUUUAUAAGCUUGCGCUUAGGAAUGGGCUCAUAUCCUAUCAGUUUGUUGGUGAGGUAAUGGCUUACCAAGACUAAGACGGGUAGCCGGCCUGAGAGGGUGUACGGCCACACUGGAACUGAGACACGGUCCAGACUCCUACGGGAGGCAGCAGUGGGGAAUAUUGGGCAAUGGGCGAAAGCCUGACCCAGCGACGCCGCGUGAAGGAUGAAGGCUUACGGGUCGUAAACUUCUUUUAUUCCAGACGAAUCCCGCUCUAAUAAUAUUAGUGCGGGGUGACUGUACGGGAUGAAUAAGCCCCGGCUAACUCCGUGCCAGCAGCCGCGGUAAUACGGAGGGGGCAAGCGUUAUCCGGAUUUAUUGGGCGUAAAGGGUGUGUAGGUGGUUUGAAAAGUCAAAUGUGAAAUCCCUUUGCUUAACAAAGGAAUUGCAUUUGAAACUUCUAAACUGGAGUUUGGGAGAGGAAAACGGAAUUUUCGGUGUAGCGGUGAAAUGCGUAGAUAUCGAAAAGAACGCCAGUGGCGAAAGCGGUUUUCCAGUCCAAUACUGACACUGAAACACGAAAGCUAGGGGAGCAAACAGGAUUAGAUACCCUGGUAGUCCUAGCCGUAAACGAUGGAUACUAGGUGUGUUCCGCUUUGCGGAGUGUGCCAAAGCUAACGCGUUAAGUAUCCCGCCUGGGGAGUACGGUCGCAAGACUGAAACUCAAAGGAAUUGACGGGGAUCCGCACAAGCGGUGGAGCGCGUGGCUCAAUUCGAUGAUAAACGAAAAACCUUACCUGGACUUGACAUGCUGGAAGUAGAAACUUGAAAGAGCUUUCGAUUGGUAUCCAAUCCAAAAUCAGCACAGGUGCUGCAUGGCUGUCGUCAGAUCGUGCCGUGAGGUGUUGGGUUAAGUCCCAUAACGACCGUAACCCCUGCUGUUAGUUGCCACUUCCGGAUGUAAAUCUGGAAAGCACUCUAGCGGGACUGCCUCGGAUAACGGGGAGGAAGGCGGGGAUGACGUCAAGUCAUCAUGGCCCUUAUGUCCAGGGCUGCACACGCGCUACAAUGGUUAGAACAAUGGGCAGCGACCUCGCGAGAGGAAGCGAAUCUCUUAAAUCUAACCCCAGUUCAGAUUGCAGGCUGAAAUUCGCCUGCAUGAAGUUGGAAUCGCUAGUAAUCGCAGAUCAGCAUGCUGCGGUGAAUACGUUCUCGGAUCUUGUACACACCGCCCGUCACAUCCCGAAAGUUGCAACACCCGAAAGCCCCUAACUUUAUUUAUAAAGCAGGAGAUUAAGGUGCGACCAAUGAUCGGGGUGAAGUCGUAACAAGGCAGCCGUACGGGAACGUGCGGCUGGAUCACCUCCUUU
rnacentral:rRNA from 1 species